UGCCAGCAGCCGCGGUAAGACGAACCGUGCAAACGUUAUUCGGAAUCACUGGGCUUAAAGGGCGCGUAGGCGGGUAAUCAAGUCAAUGGUGAAAGCCUCCAGCUUAACUGGAGAAGUGCCUUUGAUACUGAUUGUCUAGAGUGAGGUAGGGGCAUGUGGAACUUCCGGUGGAGCGGUGAAAUGCGUAGAUAUCGGAAGGAACGCCAGUGGCGAAAGCGAUGUGCUGGACCUUUUCUGACGCUGAGGCGCGAAAGCUAGGGGAUCAAACGGGAUUAGAUACCCCGGUAGUCCUAGCCCUAAACUAUGGGUACUAGAUUGUGGACUUUCAUGGGUUCACAGUCGAAGCAAAAGUGUUAAGUACCCCGCCUGGGGAGUAUGGUCGCAAGGCUGAAACUCAAAGAAAUUGACGG
rnacentral:rRNA from 1 species